UCUUGGGUUCAUUCUCUAUAAAAUAAUUACAAAAUUAAUUGACAGAAUGGAUAUAGCAAAUACAUCACGAUGGGUCCCACAAAGCAGUUGACAGGACUGUCUGUCCCCUACUUGUUAGAAGCAUGCGAACGCUGAGGUGAAGUGAGGAAUGGUACAAAGGCUACGGUCAAAAGGCUUUUAGCUACAGUCGAAAGCCGUAGCAGCUAAAAAUGCAAAAAUACUCAGCCCGCGUGUCCAUUUCUCUCAUUCCCCCUCUCACAAACUGAAAUUUUCAUCUCCCUCCCACUCGUGAGAUAAAAAACCUAAACCAUUCCCUCUCUCUCAAUCUCCCGCGCGUCCCUUUCUCUCUCUCGAUCUCUCAAACCCUCUCUCACGAAUACUCCCCUCUCACGAACCCAUCUUCUCUCCCCAGCCACCCCCUGUCUCUCAAUCUCAUGAAGACUCCCUUCUCACUACAUAAUCUGCGUCCAUUUUAGCAUGUUAUGUCAGAAACCUUUGAGCCAUCACCUUUCAUGCCUCUUGUUACCAAGGGGUUCGAUAAUGACUUUGAUACAACGACUAGCAGGCAACAAAGAAGCCAAGUUGCUGCCUUAGUUAGAUCAUCAACUAGUGAAAAAGAGGCUAGUUUGAAGGAGAGCAACUUGGUGAAGAUUAGAUAAUAGUUGUGGUAUGUUGCUUCCAUUCUUUACUACCAGCCACUCACCAUCUGAGAUGUUUGUCCGCUAAGCAUGUUUGCAUGCCAGGUUCGAAAAAGGCCUUUGAACAAGGAGCUAUCUUGAAAAGAAGAGGAUAUUGUAACCAUCUAUGAUAAUGCAUACUUAACUGUUCAUGAGCCAAAGCUAAAGGAAUUGAAGUUUUAAACCAAGAAAAGUUGUUUUAUUAAAAAUGAGAUCGAUAAACUAUUGAUGGAGUUCGGAUCUUUGAGUGCAGGUGGAAUUGCAAAUGCAUCCAAUUCUGUGACUAGCAGAUCUAAAUAGGAUGGAGGCCAUGUUCUGAUAAUCUGUUACAAGGCUAGGAUGGUGCUGACUACCAUAUGUACAUUUUCAGAGAUGAAUAUGGUGAUAAUGUCUAGAUUAUAAUUGGAGAUGACUUGAUACAUGCGGAUGCACGUUGUUGUGUCGGAAGGUCGAAGUGGCUUGCCUAUGCUAUCUUCGGUUUUGUGAGUUGAAGAGAUCUAUUGUUUCUAGCAGCAAGGCAGAAAUUUUGGGAUGCAAAUCGCAGUCUGGUUUCCUUUUUGCUUGCAUUACUCCUAUCCUUAUUGCAUGGAUAUAUUCAGAGAUUCUGGAGUAUAAUAGAUCUUCAUCUCCUCCCAAAGUGUGUUGUUUCUUACUAUCUUGUGGUGGAUGAUAGUGUCCAUGGCCGAUAGAAGAUCAUGAGCUCAAGGUGAAGGACUCCAAGACGCUUCUUUUUGGUGAGAAACCAGUUAUUAUCUUCAGUGUUAGCCAUGUGCAGUAAGCUUUCGGACCAAAGCGAAGCUGAGGAUAGAGUGUUAGUUGAUGGAAAAUUAAUAACCAGUAGAGGCACAUCCAUGGAGUUCUCGCUUGCGAUUGUCGAGAAGCUAUUUGGCUACGAGAAGGCAUUGUAUCUUGCUGUCAAUGAGAACUUUAAAUAGACAUAUAACUAUUAUGUUGGUAUUGUACUUUUGUAAAUGGAUUAAAAUGAAUGAAUGAAUGAUUCAACCAUGAACUAUUUAUCUGUAUUAGCUUAUAUGAGU